rnacentral:rRNA from 1 species
AUACGUAGGGAGCGAGCGUUGUCCGGAAUUACUGGGCGUAAAGGGCGCGUAGGCGGCGCUUCAAGUCGUCUGUCAAAUGGAAGGGCUUGACCCUUUUUCGCAGACGAAACUGGAGAGCUUGAGAAGCAGAGAGGCAAACAGAAUUCCUGGUGUAGCGGUGAAAUGCGUAGAUAUCAGGAAGAAUACCAGUGGCGAAGGCGGUUUGCUGGCUGCAUACUGACGCUGAAGCGCGAAAGCCAGGGGAGCGAACGGGAUUAGAUACCCCGGUAGUCCUGGCAGUAAACGAUGUAUGCUGGGUGUGAGACUAGCGAUAGUUUCGUGCCGAAGUUAACGCGAUAAGCAUACCGCCUGGGGAGUACGGUCGCAAGAUUGAAACUCAAAG